GAGAACUUCGUCUCCCUCUUUCUUUCCAUUUCCUUAGCGGCCGCCCGAGGCGUCGCGGGGCGAUGCCGGUCGGUCGCUUACGCCCAUAAUUCCUCCGUUGGCUCCUCGUGUUUCCCUUCACGAUAUCGAAUUAAAAACCCAAAAAUUAUAAAAGUGCACAAUUAAAUUAUGGCAAGUAUUUCCCUUUGUUAUGAAAAAUUAUAUGUUUUCCGGGCUUGGGAUAAAUUAUUCAUACUUCAAAUUAUUCGGGAGCAGGAAGCUAAUUAGAUAAUUCCCCACGAUAAAAUAUCAGCCCAAGAAUCAAAUUAAUUAUUUACUUAGCCCAACUUAUUCCUCUAAUUAAAUUAAGAAGCCCAACUACUAUAACUCCAAGAGAGGCCCAAUCUUUAUUUUCUCCAAAUUAAUUUAGGGUCCAACUCCAAAUUUAAAGAGGGAGGCCCAAAAUAUAAGUCAAUUUCAAAAUUGGGCUUCCCUCCAUUUAAAAACCAUUUAAUUUAAGCCCAGUCAUUAAAUUUCGAAAUGGGCCUCUUAUUCCCUAUGCCUUGUAGCUCCAAUUUAAUUAGGAGCAGUUGGGCUUGAUUUUCAUAGUUGCAUGCCCAAUAGAUAAAUCAACAAAAGUGCAGCCCCCAAAUUCUAAUUUUAAUUAACUCAUGUAUGAUGUACUCCUUCCACCCUCGGUUUCUCUCUCUACCUACACUAUUUAAUCUCCUUCCCCAAUUUGCACAAAAAUUAGGGAAAAAUCUCUCUUCUUUCCGUCGACCAACCACCCCACCAGCGCCUCCUCCUCCUCCGUCUCCAUCUCCGUCUCCGUCUCCGUCUCCGGCGGUGUUCCCUUCCCCCCCUCAUCUCUCUCUCUCUCUCUCCCUCUUUCUCACGCCGCCGCCGCCCCGCUCUUUCUCUCCAGAUUCGCCGCCGUGGAGUCACCGAAGCCGAGCAGCAGCGCUGAGUCAGGCGCCUGCUGUCGCUGCUCCGUCGCCGCCGGGAGAUGCUGCUUUUGCUGCCGGGAGACGCGACGCAGCUGCCGGGAGGCGCUGCUGUAGCCGCUGCUGUCCCAGCCUGCCGGUCAGCUUCCGAUUGACUCCGAGUCCACCCCGAACCGACACCGCGCAGUUCCGAGCAACUCCGAACAGCCCCGAAACGUCCCGAAACUAACCCGUUCAGCCCCGAAAGAUAAGUUCCCUUUACCAAGUUCUUUCGCAUUUCGAAUUAAUCGUGGGAGUGUUCAAUUGUGUUAAUUGCUUGAGUUAUGCGAUUAGUUCGGAUGAUGGUAUGUUUAUGCAUAAACUGAUGAUUGAAACUCGAAAUUGGGAAAGGAUUUUACCUCGAUAAUCCGAUAUCGAUUGUGAAAUUGUAGGACCGAAAGGAGUAGCCCACUGGAUUUUGCAGAUUCAGUUUCUGUCAAAAUUUUACAUAUUUGAUUUCCAAAAGGAGUGCGAAAUUGUGCUAUUAACGGAGGAAGAACGUAAAAAGAGAGAAGAAUAGACUGAGGAGAAGAUUUAAUAGAGAGGGAUGGCGGUUUGGAGGAAAAUAUCUUAGAUUUUUUUUUAUAUAUUAAUUUACUAACUUGGUGACCAAGUUAGAUUAUUUUAAAUUUUUUUUUCUUUUUUUUUUUUUUCCGGUUGUUACAACUUUACUAAUUUUACGUUACAACUGGUAUUAUCCAAUACUAAAACUAAUUUUUUGUGAA